GUGCUUGCUCAGGCAGCACAUAUGAUAAAUUGGAAUCGAUACAGAGAAGAUUAGCAUGGCCCCUGCGCAAAGA
rnacentral:snRNA from 1 species